rnacentral:misc_RNA from 1 species
AAAGGUUUGGGGCCCUAGGGCCCCGACUCCAACCCUCUGUUUACCCUAUAACCGUUGCUUUGGCGGGCCGGGUACCCAUCCCGCCGGCCUUUGGGCUGGAGAGCGCCCGCCAGAGGACUCUUAAAACCCAACUUACCGGUGCCCUCUGAGUACUUGAGAAUUGAACA